UGGUGACAUCAUACUGGACAGCAUUGGACGUGAUUGGAUCGUUCUCUAAUACUGUCUGGUGAUGAUGUUGACACUGGCUUU
rnacentral:pre_miRNA from 2 species